rnacentral:rRNA from 1 species
CCUACGGGUGGCAGCAGUGAGGAAUAUUGGUCAAUGGGCGCUAGCCUGAACCAGCCAAGUAGCGUGAAGGAUGACUGCCCUAUGGGUUGUAAACUUCUUUUAUAAGGGAAUAAAGUGCAGUAUGUAUACUGCUUUGCAUGUACCUUAUGAAUAAGGAUCGGCUAACUCCGUUCCAGCAGCCGAGGUAAUACGGAGGAUCCGAGCGUUAUCCGGAUUUAUUUGGUUUAAAGGGAGCGUAGGCGGUUUGUUAAGUCAGUUGUGAAAGUUUGCGGCUCAACCGGAAAAGUGCAGUUGAUACUGGCAGCCUUGAGUACAUUAGAGGUAGGCGGAAUUCGUGGUGUAGCGGUGAAAUGCUUAGAUAUCACGAAGAACUCCGAUUGCGAAGGCAGCCUGCUGGACUGUAACUGACGCUGAUGCUCGAAAGUGUGGGUAUCAAACAGGAUUAGAUACCCGUGUAGUC